GCCUGGGUGGCUCAGUUGGUUGAGCGUCCAACUUCAGCUCGGGUCAUGAUCUCACAGCUUGUGGGUUCGAGCCCCGCAUCAGACU
rnacentral:tRNA from 1 species